rnacentral:rRNA from 1 species
AUUGAACGCUGGCGGCAUGCCUUACACAUGCAAGUCGAACGGCAGCACGGGUGCUUGCACCUGGUGGCGAGUGGCGAACGGGUGAGUAAUACAUCGGAACAUGUCCUGUAGAGGGGGAUAGCCCGGCGAAAGCCGGAGUAAUACCGCAUACGAUCUUCGGAUGAAAGCGGGGGCCCUUCGGGCCUCGCGCUAUAGGGUUGGCCGAUGGCGGAUUAGCUAGUUGGUGGGGUAAAGGCCUACCAAGGCGACGAUCAGUAGCUGGUCUGAGAGGACGACCAGCCACACUGGAACUGAGACACGGCCCAGACUCCUACGGGAGGCAGCAGUGGGGAAUUUUGGACAAUGGGCGAAAGCCUGAUCCAGCAAUGCCGCGUGUGUGAAGAAGGCCUUCGGGUUGUAAAGCACUUUUGUCCGGAAAGAAAUACUUGGCCCUAAUACGGGCGGGGGAUGACGGUACCGGAAGAAUAAGCACCGGCUAACUACGUG